rnacentral:piRNA from 1 species
UAAUUGCAAAAUCGAUCAGGUCU